UGGGGAAUUUUGCACAAUGGGGGAAACCCUGAUGCAGCGACGCCGCGUGAUUUAGAAGGCCUUCGGGUUGUAAAAAUCUUUUCUAUGGGAAGAAAAUGACAGUACCAUAGGAAUAAGGACCGGCUAAUUACGUGCCAGCAGCCGCGGUAAUACGUAAGGUCCGAGCGUUGUCCGGAAUCAUUGGGCGUAAAGGGUACGUAGGCGGGUAAGCAAGUUAGAAGUGAAAUCCUAUGGCUCAACUAUAGUAAGCUUUUAAAACUGCUCAUCUUGAGGUAUGGAAGGGAAAGUGGAAUUCCUAGUGUAGCGGUGAAAUGCGCAGAUAUUAGGAGGAAUACCGGUGGCGAAGGCGACUUUCUGGCCAUAACCUGACGCUGAGGUACGAAAGCGUGGGUAGCAAACAGG
rnacentral:rRNA from 1 species